rnacentral:rRNA from 1 species
UACGGAGGAUGCAAGUGUUAUCCGGAAUCACUGGGCGUAAAGCGUCUGUAGGUGGUUGAAUAAGUCAACUGUCAAAUCUUGAGGCUCAACUUCAAAAUUGCAGUCGAAACUAUUCGACUUGAGUAUAGUAGGGGUAAAGGGAAUUUCCAGUGGGGCGGUGAAAUGCGUAGAUAUGUGGAAGAACACCGGUGGCGAAGGCGGUUUUCUAGCUUAUUCCUGACGCUGAAGCGCGAAAGCAAGGGGAUCAAACAGG